UGCGGGAUAGUGUAACGGCAGCACUACUGACUCUGGCUCAGUCUGUUUGGGUUCAAAUCCUAAUCCCGCAGCCA
rnacentral:tRNA from 1 species